GAGGACCGUAUUCAUGGAAGAGGAUUGAACAGGUCAGGGCCAUAGAGAAUUGGGAACCCUUGGAAGAUAAAAGCUUGGGGCCUGGGGAUAGGAUCAGAGAACCAGCUGCAGGAAUGUGGGUCAGGGAACAGGGAGCCAUGGGUGAGAUGCCUUAGCGCUUGUCCUGUGUGCUGUUCAGGAUCCCUUAGAAGCACACUGAGGAUUCCUCCCUCCUCAUUGUCUUCUCUAUGACUACUGAGUUCUUAAGAGAAAAAUGGCACUUAAGAAAUUGAUGGUGAUAUCAAAGGAAGGUUACUUAUUACUCUUGGACUUUGAUGAUGAGGACGAUGACAUAAAAGUUUCAGAGGAGGCUCUUGCGGAAGUAAAGAGCCCAGGAUUUGAUAAAAAUGAGAAUAUAUCGCCUCAAGCAGAAGCAGAUGAAUAUAUGGGAGAUGAAGUAGACAGUAUGUUGGAUAAAUCUGGAGUAAAGAACCCAGCAAUUGGUAAAGAUGAGAAUAUAUCGCCUCAAGUAAAAGGAGAUGAAGACAUGGGAGAUGAAAUUGACAGUAUGUUGGCUACAUCUGGAGCUGCAUCAUUGGACUGAAAGUGAAUGGCCCAUGUGUUGCCACUGAUGUGAGCCAUUUGCCUGUUGUGCUUCA
rnacentral:precursor_RNA from 1 species